rnacentral:rRNA from 1 species
CUACGGGUGGCUGCAGUGGGGAAUAUUGGACAAUGGGGGAAACCCUGAUCCAGCAAUGCCGCGUGUGUGAAGAAGGCCUGCGGGUUGUAAAGCACUUUCGGUUGGGAGGACUGCUUCUAGCACUAAUAUUGUUGGAAGUUGACGUUACCUUCAGAAGAAGCACCGGCUAACUCCGUGCCAGCAGCCGCGGGUAAUACGGAGGGUGCACGCGUUAAUCGAAUUACUGGGCGUAAAGCGCGCGUAGGCGGCUAGAUCAGUCGGGUGUGAAAGCCCCGGGCUUAACCUGGGAACUGCAUCCGAUACUGUCUAGCUUGAGUACAGGAGAGGAGAGUGGAAUUCCACAUGUAGCGGUGAAAUGCGUAGAUAUGUGGAGGAACACCAAUGGCGAAGGCAGCUCUCUGGCCUGAUACUGACGCUGAGGUGCGAAAGCGUGGGGAGCAAACAGGAUUAGAUACCUAGUAGUC